rnacentral:rRNA from 1 species
UACGUAGGGGGCAAGCGUUGUCCGGAUUUAUUGGGCGUAAAGAGCGUGUAGGCGGUUUGGUAGGUCCGUUGUGAAAACUCGAGGCUCAACCUCGAGACGCCGAUGGAAACCAUCAGACUAGAGUCCGGAAGAGGAGAGUGGAAUUCCUGGUGUAGCGGUGAAAUGCGCAGAUAUCAGGAAGAACACCCGUGGCUAAGGCGGCUCUCUAGUACGGUACUGACGCUGAGACGCGAAAAGCGUGGGGGAGCGAAACAGG